rnacentral:lncRNA from 1 species
AAUUAACAUAUAUGAACAUAAGAGCAUUAUAUUAAAUACGUGUAUUUUUAAAAUACAAGAUAAUUCCAUUAAAAGGUGAGAGAAAUACGUAAUAUCUGAGACACAACAACACAGGUGACAUGUGCAAACUAUUUCUGGAGCUCCUGUUUAUAUAUUAGAAAUAUAAAGUGAGAUCUAGAGUUGGAAUACAUCAAUCUCAGUUUCAUUAACUACCUCCAGAAUCACAACCUCAUCCCUAUGUUUCAAUUUGGCUUCACGGACCUGAGCUCAGAUAUCCUGUCCAAAACUUGGGUGUUUUUAUACUGAGGGACUUGUUUGUGGGAUGUACGAUUUAUUACAACCAGGUGAAUUAGGAAAUUUGGAUUCUUUUUAAAAAAUGAAACAGUUCAGUUAUUUCUCUUUUUGCUUUUUGAUUAUUUUACUUUUUGUUAAUAGCGGUUGGCACAGUAAGAUCUACAUGGCACUUUGACAUUAUUUUCUCUUGCAAGUCUUCAGCCCCUACCAUCUCUUCUGUUCUGUCAGCUAAUUAAACACGUAAACCUGUGAGGAAGCGACUGUUAAGUCCACCCUGCUUACAGAGAUGAUUUCUCAAUAGGCUGAUGUCGAAUGUGUUUGCGGUGCACAGCAUAACAUCCUCAGGAAGACAAAUACAACUCCUCACAAGCUGCCAAAUGAUAUUCAUGAUUGCUUCAAACUGGACACCGCAUCUACCUGCAUGAACCUGUAGAGAGCCACUUCUCCUAACUGAAAAAUAGUUCAACUCACCACUUCCCAGGAUGUCUGCUCAUCAGAAUUCCUUUUGUCAGAGAUACCUGGACCACACCCUACAGGUCCUGAUUCAAUCACUCCAAGGCAGGUGAGUCUCAGGAGUUUCCGUUUUGAAUGUAUUUUGUAUUUUUGAUGUUUUUGUGGCAAUAAGUCUGUGAGGCAGGCCCUGGGGACAACUGGAAUAAAUAAGCUUUAGAAUUAUUUCUAAUUCUAAAGUCCUAGGAUUCUGUAAAGGUAACGAAGAAAAAUGAAGAUUCCACAUCACUUCUAAUCAGUUUCUAAUGAUUACAGUUGCAGCUGAUUAGGCUAAAAGGAUUCAUUUCAAUUUAAGAAAUAAUUGAAAUAAUGAAAAUAAGAGUCCUUAAUAUCAAGUAGUUCGCAAACGCAGCAAUAAAUAAAAGAGCAUUCCAUUGUCCCCUGCUCUCAAAUGCUUAAGAAUAUUAACGAUGUUCUAUUCCUUCCUUCAGGAAAGAAGAAAAAGAAAAAGAUGAACUUAUUCGGAAUUCUGUGUACUUUGCCCUUUAGAACUAGAUGGUGUUACUGAAAGUAAUAGGGAUCCUAGCACAUUACAAUAUAUAAAUAUCAGAACUUGAAUAUAAAUGUGCAGUGCAUCUUUGGCCUUUGGGAUAUUAAAAUGCUUGAUGAGCCAUGGACACACAUUAUUUUUUUAAAAAAGGUGGCCUCUCUAAGUUAUGUUAUGAAACCACCAAGAAGGAACAAUGUCUUAUUUGAUGUUCUCUAUAGCACUUAGUGUAUGUUGAAAUUCAAUAACCAUCCAAUAAUAAAAAAUAUUAAUUUAUGAUCAUGAAUUAAAUUAUCCUGAAAGCUAGUACUUCAGUGAUAGGUAAUAAUCGGGAAAUAGACAUAACUUUGAUACCACACAAUAUUCCAUAUAGAAACAUUCAUAAGUCUUUCUGUAUCUCUUUUUUAUUUAUUGUUUAUGUUAUAUAAUAAACUCAUUU